CAGUCGCCGCGGUAAUACAGAGGGUGCGAGCGUUAAUCGGAUUUACUGGGCGUAAGCGUGCGUAGGCGGCUUCUUAAGUCGGAUGUGAAAUCCCUGAGCUUAACUUAGGAAUUGCAUUCGAUACUGGGAAGCUAGAGUAUGGGAGAGGAUGGUAGAAUUUCAGGUGUAGCGGUGAAAUGCGUAGAGAUCUGGAGGAAUACCGAUGGCGAAGGCAGCCAUCUGGCCUAAUACUGACGCUGAGGUACGAAAGCAUGGGGAGCAAACAGGAUUAGAUACCCCUGUAGUCCCUGUCUCUUAUACA
rnacentral:rRNA from 1 species